GACGAACGCUGGCGGCGUGCUUAACACAUGCAAGUCGAACGGAGGUUAUUUUGAAACUUAGUGAUAAAUAACCUUAGUGGCGAACGGGUGAGUAACGCGUGGAUAACCUGCCUAUAUGCCUGGGACAACACCGGGAAACUGGUGCUAAUACCGGAUACGCUCUUGGUAGCACAUGCUGUUGAGAGGAAAGGAGCAAUCCGCAUAUAGAUGGGUCCGCGUCCCAUUAGCUAGUUGGAGGUGUAAAAGACCCCCAAGGCGACGAUGGGUAGCCGGCCUGAGAGGGUGGACGGCCACACUGGAACUGAGACACGGUCCAGACUCCUACGGGAGGCAGCAGUGGGGAAUCUUCCGCAAUGGGCGAAAGCCUGACGGAGCAACGCCGCGUGAGCGAAGAAGGCCUUCGGGUCGGUAAAACUCUGUCUUCAGGGAAGAAAAAAUAGACGGUACCUGAGGAGGAAGCCCCGGCUAACUACGUG
rnacentral:rRNA from 1 species